rnacentral:rRNA from 1 species
GAUGAACGCUAGCGGCAGGCCUAAUACAUGCAAGUCGAGGGGCAGCGCGGUAGCAAUACUGGCGGCGACCGGCGCACGGGUGCGUAACACGUAUGCAACCUACCUUCAACUGGAGGAUAGCCCGGGGAAACUCGGAUUAAUACUCCAUAACACAGGGAUCCCGCAUGGGAAUAUUGUUAAAGCUACGGCGGUUGAAGAUGGGCAUGCGUUCGAUUAGCUAGUUGGUGUAGGUAACGGCUCACCAAGGCUACGAUCGAUAGGGGGUCUGAGAGGAUGAUCCCCCACACUGGUACUGAGAUACGGACCAGACUCCUACGGGAGGCAGCAGUAGGGAAUAUUGGUCAAAUGGGCGCAAGCCUGAACCAGCCAUGCCGCGUGCAGGAAGAAGGCCCUCUGGGUUGUAAAACUGCUUUUGAUAGGGAACAAAAUGCCACUUGCGAGUAGGAGCUGAGUGUACCUAUAGAAUAAGCACCGGCUAAACUCCGUGCCAGCA